rnacentral:rRNA from 1 species
UACGGAGGGUGCGAGCGUUGUUCGGAAUCACUGGGCGUAAAGCGCGUGUAGGCGGCCCACUAAGUCUGAUGUGAAAGCCCGGGGCUCACCCCCCGGAAGUGCAUUGGAAACUGGUGGACUCGAGUCCCGGAGAGGAGAGUGGAAUUCCUGGUGUAGCGGUGAAAUGCGUAGAUAUCAGGAGGAACACCGGUGGCGAAGGCGGCUCUCGUGGACGGUGACUGACGGCUGAGACGGCGAAAGCGUGGGUAGCAAACAGG